GGCUCGCAGCGGAAUGCUAUUCUCCCACGUGGCGGGCCAAGACACGAGUUGCUGGCUGGGGCGAGAUCUUUCCAGAAUGGGGCUGACAUGUGCGCACCGCCACAUUGUCACGUUCCAGAAAAGCAAUUAAUGCAGCGCAAACCGCUAUUACUGAAGAUUAUAGUUUGUCAGCCUGAACGCCACUCGCCGUUGCAGCCCAGCAUUCCAUUUCCGGUAGCCACAGCGAACGGACGUGUAAUCAUGUACCCCCCCACGGAGCGGCUCUGGCGGGCGUUACCCGCGGAAACAGGCUCAACGAUAGCGGCCAUCAGACUGUUUUGGCGCAGCUGCCUACGGGUCUUGUCGCACUAAACGCCGUAGUUUUACACGACGACAUCCGGACAAGAUUUUCGUGACGCGCUGCGCCCUCCUGGACUGCUGUCUGAAGUCGUCGCACUGGGGGCGUGCCAGAUAAAUCAUGUCUGGGCGGUCACUAUGUGCGGCGCCUAUGCAACAAAAAGGCUGCAGGCUUUCAAUAAGCUUGAUGUGUAGGGGCGGCGCUGCCUCAUCAUCGAUGCCAAGGACCGAUGGUGAAGCUGCGGCUCCGCUGGCUACUUCAUGACGUCGAGGACGAGGAUGUGCAGACGGCAUUUGCGGCCUUUGGCAAGGUGCUAAAGGUGAGCUAGGAGCGCUGGCGCGUCGAAGGCGUCAGUGAAAGAAAGCUCCACGACGAGGCUCGUGUUGUUGAACGUCAAGAGCGGUGUCGCCGCGGAUGACUUGCCCCAUCAGAUUCGGGUCGCCGGCGCGCUGGCCCUCGUCGUCGCCCUUGGCCGGCCAAUGCAGUGCUUGCGCUGCAAAGAAAGCGGCCGCGUACGCCGCCACUGCAAAGUGCCCCGAUGCUCACUCUGGAGACGCUUUGGGCACGCUAACGCAAAGUGUGAAUGGUCUUACGGCGCAUCGGUUGGCCAAAAUGAGAGUGACAAGAUAGCAGAGCAUGCCAAGGACGUGACUGAGACGGAGGACGCGGCCAGGAGUACAGGUGACGUGGCUAAUCUGCAGGAGGCGACAACCUCAGUGGCACCUGCCGCGGAGGAAGAACAUGGGCUGCCUGAACCAGCGACUGAAUCUUCGACGACGCCGGUAACGGAAAUGAAACAAGCCGCAAAAGAGGUACAUCUCCCUCAAGUUGCUGUGGUCGACGCACUGACCGCCUGCCAAGACCAGACGGGGCCGCCCAUACACCGUUUGAUGGCGUGGCUGUCAAGCGACCACUGGAGAAAGAAGACCUCAAAGGCAGCCCAGGGGCAAGCAAGACGGACGGACCGCCCGCAAAGGCGCCCCUUGGGAGACGUUCCGGCUACAAGCCACUGUCCAACGUCCCGACAGGGCGGCUGGUUGGGGACAAACCGGCGCCGCAGCAGAACGACGCCAGGCAACCGGACAGGCACGGUGAUGUCUAGCGAUGUGCUAUAGACAUUGAAGCACGAUUGGCAACACCCACCGAGGAGGCUUAGUGGCGAUGGCCUUGCGCUGCUGAGACCGACGACGAGGGUUCGACCUCGGCUGCAUUUUGGUGGAGGCUUUAUUGCAGGGAGCGCUCAGCGACGAACUCGAAACUCGGAACCCAUGAUCGAACUGGAGUGUGAAAGAAAGAUGCAGCCGCCGCGGCCGAGAUCAAGCCCAGGACGUCGAGCUCACCAGCGCCACCCCAUAGCCAAAGCAAUCCAAGACAGAAUACUGGAGGCCAGCGUGUGGCCCAGGCAGGAGUGGACACAGUAUUGAUACGAAAUACAAGCAUUCUAAGGAGAAGAACAAAAUAAUAAUAGAAAAGAACGUUGUCA